CAGAGAAUAGUUUAUUAAAAAUAAUAAUUUUGGAUAUUAUAGAUAAAGAAUUUCUUUUUCUCUGA
rnacentral:tRNA from 1 species